GGGCCGCUAGCUCAGCGGGUAGAGCACAGGCUUUUUAAGCCUGGAGUGCCGAGAUCGAGGCUCGGGCGGCCCA
rnacentral:tRNA from 1 species